rnacentral:lncRNA from 1 species
GGGGAUCCAUUAGGGGUCCCCUCUACACGUGAACCAUUAACAUUUACAACUUGAUUCCAGGGCCAUCCCCAUACCCCGUCCAGUAUGGGCGCCAAAACCAUGAACCUCAAUACCCCGUCCGGUAUGAGGGUGAAACGGGCCGUCCCCAUACCCCGUCCGGUAUGGGCGCCAAAACACAUAAGGUCUCCAUACCCCGUUCGGUAUGAGAGACCACGUUCCCGGUAGGGUUCCCUACGAACCCGGUCCGUCCACCAUCUCCCAGGAUAUCUAGUCAGGCUGUACACAUUAUCCACUUAUCAAUUCACAUAACCUUUUUGCUUUUUUCCUUGGUCUCACUCAUCCAAUCAUACACAAACAUGUAAACCAGUCAUCGACACCAAACAAGAUAAUACAGUACCGGGUUCACCAUAAUACAAACUAUAAUAAAAGAAAUCAUAGUUCAUGCAUACGAGACCAUAACAUAAUUACAUCAAACAUCAUGCUGCAUUUAAUACUGAAAAUUAGAUCAAACAAUAACAGACCAACACUGUAUCAGACUCGGGCCCCAUUGGCAACCUAAAUCAAUUAUACAUCUAUAAAGUCACACAGUACAGUUUAAUUAUUUAUUUAGCUUUAAUACCGUGAUAGGAAAUAGGGUGAGGGGUUCUUAUUUGUUUUGGGGUCUGAAUUCGACUCUACAGUGUGCCUACAGGCUGUCCCUAAUUUUCCUAAAUUUUUUUCGAAAAACUGAAAUGCACUACCGGUACUUGCAUGUGUCCUAAAAAAUCCCAAAUCAGACCUAGGGCCCCUUUCGGCCAAUAUCGAAAUUCCGGUGACUCGCCUCGGGUUGGUCGUUUUCGGCCGAAUUCGGCCACACUUACAUCGGUCCCUGCGAUAAAACAACCCUAGGGCCCUCGGUGGGCCCAAAAAUCACGAAAAACUAAAACUUACCGGCGGCAGUGCACUCGGGUGCAGCGGCUCCUUCGGCCUGAGUUGUGUUUUGAUGUUUGGCUCCAAUCAACCUGUAGAGAAAAGAAUGGUGAUCACAGUAGUAUAAAAUUUGUAUCGAACGGAGGCCGGGAAGGGCCUCAUCGGAGGCAAAAACGGAGGCGGGGGUGCGGCAGCGCCACUGGACUUCGGUUGGGUUUUUCGACCGUUUGGCCGGUGGUUUGGCUCCUGUUUGGCCAUAGGUGGACUCAACAUCGAAAAAUGAG